UCGCCAUCCUAUACUGACGAACGCGCCAUCUGCUCCUCAGAUUUCUCUGCUUUCACGAAGCGGCCAUUUUAGCCCUUCUGCCACGGUUUAUCUGACCCGAAUUUUGGAUUAUCAUUCGAGUGUUUCUUCAUCUGCACUUCAGCGACUGCGAUAGUGGAACUCAGUUCUCCUUGUGGUGAAGUGCCAUGGAGUUUCGUCCAUUUCAGUGCCAUGAAGACUUUGUUUGACUUCGACACGGAUGAACCCAUCAGAUCAGAACUGAGACGUCCACGUUUGCCCUCUGCAAUAUUACUGGCCAUCGGAGAAUGGAGUGGCAACAAUCUCACCGGUGUGAUUGAGGCAUAUGAUUCGAAGGCAGACCGCUGGGUCAGUGUGACUCAAGAGAAUGAGCUUCCCAGAGCCUAUCAUGGUGCAGCGGUCCUGAAUGAGUUUGUUUACUGUGUUGGUGUUUUUUGACGGUCUUAUAAUUAAGACUUGAUCCAAAUGAGUUUCCUCCGCAGGGUGGCUGUGCGCUCCCUUAGAGAUAGGGUGAGGAGCUCAGAGUAGAGCCACUGCUCCUCCACAUCGAGAGGAGCCAGCUGAGGUGGCUCGGGCAUCCUCCUGGACGACUCCCUGGGGAGGUGUUCCGGGCAUGUCCCACCUGGAGGAGGCCCCGGGGAAGACAUAGGACACGCUGGAGGGACUAUGUCUCUCGGCUGGUCUGGGAAUGCCUCAGAAUUCCCCUGGAAGAGCUGGAGGAAGUAUCGGGGAGAGGGAAGUCUGGGCGUCUCUGCUUAGGCUGCUGACCCUGGCCCCCGGAUAAGCGGAAGAAAAUGGAUGGAUGGAUGGAAUUAAGACUUGGCAUGAGGUGGCCCUGAUGCAUGAACACUGAUGCUUUCUUAGUGUUGCUGUUCUGGACAGGCUCAUUUAUGCCACUGGUGGUUUUGAUGGACGCCAACAUCAUAAAACAGCUGAGCACUAUGAUCCAAACACCGAUCGGUGGACACUGACGGCGCCCCCGAAUGUAGUGAGGAGUAACGCCAGCGCCACCUCACUGCAGGGCAGGGUUUAUGUCUGUGGUGGUUCUACUGGGUUAGAGCUAUAACCCUGAAACAGACCAGUGGACUCUCAUCGCUCCCAUGAGAAGAUGCCGCAGGGGUGUUGCUUAUGGUGAUCUAGUGUAUGCUGGUGACCGGUGAAUAUGUCUUUGUCUCUUUUAUGAUUAUUGUGUAUGAUUGAUUUAAAUGGUCUUUGCUAAACUCUGUGAGAAGCAUUGACUGUGAUGUUUUAGGCAUAAUCUACACAUGGAAAUAUAACUUUUGUGUUACAUUAAACAGUUGAGCCUGCAAUCAUUUUUGGAGUGGUGUUAUUAACUUCUGAAAAUAAUAAUGAUGAUGAUAAUAAUAAUUAUUAUUGUUAUACAUACACACACACACACACACACACACACAAUCAUAUACAUUCUCAGUCUGAACAUUUACUAUUUAUCUCUAAAAUAAUUCUAAACAAAUUCUUAACACCAUCUAGUGUUUGAGAUACAGUGCAGUGUCACUUCCUGUAUGUUACAGUUUUUCUCAAUUCACUUUGAUUAAAUUCUCAAAUGAGACCUUUUUUCUCAAAACUAUAAGUUCAGGUCUCUGAACAAUUAGUUUCUUGUUCACAUCAGAUUUGGAUUUCUUAUUGAUUUAAGCAAUUUGCAUGUGUUAAAGUGUAAGUACAAUUGUCUACAAUUUGCACAAAAUCUAAAUGCACAUGGCUUUUUGAUCAAAACUGAUGAGUUAAUUCUCAGUGAAACUGCCAAACUCUUCACAACUUCUAAACAUUCUUUCAUUGUGUGAGCCUCCACAUGCAAAAUGAUCCAUUCAGUUAUCAAAAUCUGUCAGACAUGCAUGUAUAAUAACAUAUUUGUAAUGUUUGCUGAACUGGCAAAUGGCCUGCCAUUGUAAUGAAAUAGGAAUAACAAUUUUACCAAUCAACCAAUCAAAUUUGGAAGCAUACAGUAGGCUAUGUAAAGUUUGCCCAGCACAAUCACUGCCAUUUAUGAACAUGCAGGAACAUCUAAAUCCAUAAACAAACUAAAUUGUUUGAUCCCACUUUAUAUUAAGUGUCUUUAACUACUUUGUACAAACAUUUACUGUAAAUUAAUCAUUUGAUUUAUUGUGCACAUACUGAUACAUGUUUUUACAUUGUACUUAAAAAAUACAGCUGUAAUUACACUGUUGAACCUUCUAUCUAUCUAUCUGAGGUGUAUCCACCUCAGUAGCAGCGCAGCAGCACAAGUGUUUUGCAAUACAACAUGAGUACACUGUACUUAUUUCUUGAUGUAAGUACAUAGUUGAUAAAGACACCCAAUAUAAAGUGUGACCAAAUGUUCAUUUUCUUAUUGCGUACAGUAUUGACUUUUCCUAGUAAAUUUUUACCAGCCGAAAUCUGUAUCUAAAAAGUUCAGUGUGGAUACACUGAUACAAGUUUGUCAGUCUGUUAUCUCAAUUGUUUGCAUGCAGAAUUAAACAUUUCAGUGUAAUACAGGGCAGAAUAUGUGAUUCUGUAAAGGAGAGACUGUGUAGUUUUGUAACCAAGACAUUUUGUUUCAAAAUCUGUAGAUGUAGAUGUGUAUUUAUUUGCAAUAUGUAUCUUAAAAAAAUGAAAAACUAUUCCCACGGACGGUCGGACGGACAGAUAGAUAGAUGGACAGAUAUA